UACGUAGGGGGCAAGCGUUGUCCGGAUUUAUUGGGCGUAAAGCGCUCGCAGGUGGUUCGUUGCGUCGUGCGUGAAAGCCCCCGGCUCAACUGGGGAGGGUCGUGCGAUACGGGCGAACUGGAGGCCAGUAGGGGGAUGCGGAAUUCCGGGUGUAGUGGUGGAAUGCGUAGAGAUCCGGAGGAACACCAGCGGCGAAGGCGGCAUCCUGGACUGGUCCUGACACUCAUGAGCGAAAGCGUGGGGAGCGAUCCGG
rnacentral:rRNA from 1 species